rnacentral:misc_RNA from 1 species
UGAAUUACAAUUCAUUAAUAAUUCAGGUCACAUAAAUAGAGAAAGCAUUGAGGUGAAUUACUCAGUAAAUCUAUUUCAUUUUUCAAAACCAUAUACUACAAUCAAUAGUAGUCCUAUGUACCUAUUCAAUUGCAUAAACAUUGGUUAUUACAGAACAAGUGACAGAUUAGAAAAAAGUAAUCACCAAGCUAGAAACUGACAUACUUUGGCAUAUGCACAUGCAGAAAGUGCAAGAAAACUUUGUCUUGCAUGGGAUUAGGAAUUAUCAUAUACUGCUGUUUUUGACUAAUUACUGAACAAACAAUUCAUAAAUUAAUAAUCUCCAUGAAAUUAGCACUCAAAGAGAGAAAUUUUAAUUGUCAAAUAUAGGUCUUACAAUUUCUUCAGUAAUGUAAAUCACAUAAACAUACAAUUUAGUCAUUGAGACAAAAUCUGCACUACAAACAGAAAAGAAUAUAUGAGAGAAAGAGAGAGAGAGUUAAAAAUCUACAGUAAAG